UCAGGAUGAACGCUAGCUACAGGCUUAACACAUGCAAGUCGAGGGGCAGCAUGAUCGAAGCUUGCUUGAUUGAUGGCGACCGGCGCACGGGUGAGUAACGCGUAUCCAACCUUCCCUAUAGUAGAGGAUAGCCCGGCGAAAGUCGGAUUAAUACUCUAUGUUUUCCAAUGCAGACAUCUAAAAUGGAACAAAGGUUUACCGCUAUAGGAUGGGGAUGCGUCUGAUUAGGUUGUUGGCGGGGUAACGGCCCACCAAGCCUACGAUCGGUAGGGGUUCUGAGAGGAAGGUCCCCCACAUUGGAACUGAGACACGGUCCAAACUCCUACGGGAGGCAGCAGUGAGGAAUAUUGGUCAAUGGGCGAGAGCCUGAACCAGCCAAGUAGCGUGCAAGGAUGACGGCCCUAUGGGUUGUAAACUGCUUUUAUACAGGGAUAAAUUGCGCCACGUGUGGCGUUUUGUAGGUACUGUAUGAAUAAGGACCGGCUAAUUCCGUGCCAGCAGCGGC
rnacentral:rRNA from 1 species